rnacentral:rRNA from 1 species
CGCUCUGAAAACUAACUAUCACAGGUGACUUGACUGCCAGUGACUAUAUGUCCUAACGGUAGCGGUACUUUGACCGUGCGAAGGUAGCGCAAUCACUUGUCUUUAAAUGGAGACCUGUAUGAAUGGCACAGACAGAGGGCUUAACUGUCAUCCUUUUUCCAGUCAAUGAACAUUGGAUCUUCCCGUGCAGAAGCAGGGAAUAAUAUCAUAAGACGAGAAGACACCUGUGGAGCUUUAGACACUAAAUCAGCCCUUGUCCAAAAAUCCCAAUUAAAGGAAUGAACCACUAGAGCGAGACCUGAUCUCAAUGUCUUCGGUUGGGGCGACCUUAGGGGAAAGAAAAAUCCCCCAUGCGGACACGGACAAUACCAUGUUUCACAAACACUCACAGAGAGACACACUCAAAGUAUCAAACAACUUUUAGACCAACUAUCAUUAGAUUCCGAGCUCUAACAGACCCGAAUUCAAACGAGAAACCAGAGUUAACCCCACAGAGGAAUAAACUAGACAGACAAACUCCCUACUCUUAUA